rnacentral:tRNA from 1 species
GCCGGCGUAGCUCAGCGGCAGAGCAACUGUUUUGUAAACAGUAGGUCGUCGGUUCAAAUCCGACCGCCGGCUCCG